GCCGGAAUAGCUCAGUUGGGAGAGCGUUAGACUAAAUAUCUAAAGGCCGCCGGUUCAAUCCCGGUUCCGGCA